CCUGACUGCCAUCGGAAUGAUACUAAGCCAUGUGAGUCAUUGUAGCGAUACAAGGCAGACGGCUCAGUAACACGUAGCCAAUCUAACCUAUGGACGGGGAUAACCUCGGGAAACUGAGGAUAAACCCCGAUAGAUCAUUAUGCCUGGAAAGGUUUAUGGUCCAAAUGAUUCGUCGCCGUAGGAUGAGACUGCGGCCUAUCAGCUUGUUGGUGAGGUAAUGGCCCACCAAGGCUAUAACAGGUACGGGCUCUGAGAGGAGAAGCCCGCAGAUGGGUACUGAGACACGGACCCAGGCCCUAUGGGGCGCAGCAGGCGAGAAACCUUUGCAAUGUGCGCAAGCACGACAAGGUUAAUCCGAGUGGUGCCUGCUAAAGGAAUCUCUUGUUAGUCCUAAAAACACUAGUGAAUAAGGGGUGGGCAAGUUCUGGUGUCAGCCGCCGCGGUAAAACCAACACCUCAAGUGGUCAGGAGGAUUAUUGGGCCCUAAAGCAUCCGUAGCUUGCUCUGUAAGUUUCCGGUUAAAUCCAUUAGCUCAACUAAUGGGCUGCCGGAUAAACUGCAAAGCUAGGAAGUGGGAGAGGUAGACGGUACUCGGUAGGAAGGGGUAAAAUCCUUUGAUCUAUUGAUGACCACCUGUGGCGAAGGCGGUAUACCAGAACACGUUCGACAGUGAGGGAUGAAAGCUGGGGGACCAAACCGGAUUAGAUACCCGGGUAGUCCCAGCUGUAAACGAUGCAGACUCGGUGAUGCCCUGGCUUGUGGCCAGUGCAGUGCCGCAGGGAAGCCGUUAAGUUUGCCGCCUGGGAAGUACGUACGCAAGUAUGAAACUUAAAGGAAUUGGCGGGGGAGCACCACAAGGGGUGAAGCCUGCGGUUC
rnacentral:rRNA from 1 species